CCUACGGGAGGCUGCAGUGAGGAAUAUUGGUCAAUGGCCGGAAGGCUGAACCAGCCAAGCCGCGUGAAGGACGAAGGUGCCAAGCGUUGUAAACUUCUUUUGUCAAGGGACAAAAUCAGGCUCGAGAGCCUGACCGAGGGUACUUGAAGAAAAAGCAUCGGCUAACUCCGUGCCAGCAGCCGCGGUAAUACGGAGGAUGCGAGCGUUAUCCGGAUUUAUUGGGUUUAAAGGGUGCGUAGUCGGGCUGUUAAGUCAGCGGUAAAAGCCCGGGGCUCAACCCCGGCGAGCCGUUGAAACUGGCUGCCUUGAGAUGUCGUGAGGUAUGCGGAAUGCGUAGUGUAGCGGUGAAAUGCUUAGAUAUUGCGCAGAACUCCGAUUGCGAAGGCAGCAUAC
rnacentral:rRNA from 1 species